rfam:Pteropus alecto contig39377, whole genome shotgun sequence.
GUCUACGGCCAUGCCACCCUAACCAAGCCCGAUCCCGUCUGAUCUCGGAAGCUAAGCAGGGUCGGGCCUGGUUAGUGCUUGGAUGGGAGACCACCUUGGAAGACCAGGUGCUGUAGGCG